AACACCUUAGACCCGCCCCCUGCCCACGCACUGACGGACAUUCGUUCCCAGGCAGAGCUGGGUGGAGCCAGGGCUGGGCUACCACGUAGGGGUGAAAACUCCUCCUCAGAGCGUCGUAUUAACCGUUUGGAAUGUUCCAUCGGCUGGCGUCCCCCGCCCGCCCCGGUGUGGUACCGCCCUGAGGUGAAAGGGGCAUGCAUGCAAAAUGCAAACAGUGCAACAAAGAAAUGCAAGGCCUGGUUGCCCGAAUAAAACUACAUCAUGAGAAGUGAUAUGAAAGGAACAUGUUUGAACAUGCAGGAUCUUCAGGAGAAUCCAUCCUCAACAUACAGGAUGAGGACUAUCCACCUUCAAUAUCACCAUCAUUUU